CUUUCUUUUUUUCUUCUUAAUGCAAGAAGUCUUCCGCGUCCACCGCAGUAGGAGGCGGAAAAUUCAUACUCCUAGGGGGUAUCUUUAUCCGUUGCAGUUAAAAAGCUUGUAGAGAAAUUGGGCGGGUUAUUAGUUAAGCCCGCUUCCGGAAGAACUUCUUCCAGUCCUUUGAAAAAAUUAGAGUGUUCAACGCAGGUUUCGCCUGAAUAUAUUAGCAUGGAAUAACAUAACACGACGAGGGUCCAUUUUUUUGGCUGCAAACCCACGUAAUGAUUAAUAGGGACAGUCGGGGGCGUCAGUAUUGUGUUGUCAGAGGUGAAAUUUUUUGGAUUUACACAAG
rnacentral:rRNA from 1 species